GCACCCAUGGCAUAUAGAAGUUCCCAGGCUGGGGUGGAAUUAGAGCUGUAGCUGCAGGUCUACACCACAGUCAUAGCAACGCAAGACCUGAGCCAGGUUUGCAACCUACACAGCAGCUCAUGGCAACACCAGAUCCUUACCCCAGUAAGGGAGGCUAGGGAUUGAAUCCACAUCCUCAAGGAUACUAGUCGGGUUCCUUACUGCUGAGCCAUGAUGGGCACUCCAAAAGCUUUUCAUUUUGAGGAAGUCCAUUUUAUCUGUUUGUUGAUGCUGCUUUUGAUGUUAUAAUGAUACAGUGCUGCCCCAUUCAAGGUCAUGAAGAUGUACUCCUAUGUUUUCUUCUAAGAGUUUUAUAAGUUUAGCUUUUAUAUUUAGGUGUAUGAUUUAUAUUAAUUUUUGUGUAUGAUAUGACACGGGGCCCAACUUAACUCUUUUGCAUGUAGAGUUUCAGAAGUCUUGACCCAAUGUGUUAAAAAAAAAGUUUGCCAAAAAAGCCCUUUAACGCAUAGAAAGAUUUCUCUUAUUAGAUUACAUAUCUGGUGAAGGAAAUAGGAAACCAGUUGGACAUGCCUUUCUAGCUAUGAAAGAUUGCACAUGGGUACCUGUCUGGCCUUCUCUGAGAUGCAGGGCAGAAGUAAUUCUUCUUCUUUAGAAUUUCCUGUGCAAUUAUAAUUUGUUGAGGACUUAUCAUUAUUACCAGUCCCCACGGAACUGCUUUGCUUAUUGAUUUUUUUCUUGUCUAAACAGGUUGUCGACAUAUUUAGGGCUGAUACUAUUGACAGGAAAUCAAAGGACAGAGGACUGCUCCCUCUUACCCGUUUUCAUUCUGAGGGCAGAGAUGGAAAGAAAUAUUCUAUAACAAUGAGUCCACUGAGAUUCCAAACAUAAUUUUUCUAAGGAGAAGGCUGGUGUUCUUUGCACUGGAUAGUGAAAUAUCCCUUUUCAUGAAGAUUUUCUUGUUCAGGGCAACCCAUGGACUUAUAUGCUGCUUUGGUCUCAAAACAAUAAUGAAAGAAAAGUCCAUGUGGCUUUGACGACAUUGAGUCUAUGUCUUGGAAUGGAAAAUGUAGCAUUAUCAUAGUUAUCAUUAUCUCCAUAGUCAUCUGGUGCAGGGAUCACAUAUUUGGUGGAAGCUGACGUGGAUUUGAUGACCCAUAAGGUCUUUGUUUGCCACCAUCCAACCUCAUGCAAGUUCAAUGUGGAGAGGUACUCUGUGGAUUUAGAAAUCUCUUAUGCUGUUUCACUUACUGGAAAUCUUUUAUUUCCUUAAACAGUCUGAAAGUGGGUCUUGAGGUUAAGUUUCAGACUGUGAUGCUUGGAAGUUGCUCCCUCUCAUCAGCUUAGUGCUUCUUAUGGGCACAGAAAAAUGUAAAGUUUAUGCUUGUCCUCUCCAUUUCCAAGUUAUAUGAUGUCUUCAUCUCCUGAGGAUCAACAACCUCUCUUCUUCUUCCUCUUUAUUUUUAUCUGUUCCUGUUCUUACCUGUUACCUCUCUUUCUCCUUAUGUUAUUAUUUUUAAAUCACUAGUGAGUUAAUGAGUACGAAUUGAUGAAAAAAUAAAAGAGUGAAUUACCAAAUGACAGCUAAAGGACAACGCUCUAGUUAACAUAGGGGUUGUGUCACAGAAACACUGGUCCUUGUCCUCUCAACUUCAGUUCCUGUAGUCAAACCUCAGUAUAACCAAUAUCAUUCUUAUUUGCAGUCAACAUGUAUGGUGCCUUGGCUUUUAUAAAGACAAAGCUAACCUGACCUGUAAACAGAUACAGAAGGAAUAAAUGGAGCCAUGGACUUAACAGAGAACUUGUUCUUUUUUUCAUCUUGUCUGGGAGUAGAAAUGAUUGUGCUGAGGGCCAAGAGAUUAAAUUGCGUCACUCGUCCGGAAACUGGCAAGUAGCCGUCUCUUCCUCCUGCUACUUCUCCCUGCUUUUGUGCUAUGGAUGGGUUUCAUAAAUGCACUGUUGUGUAAAAUGUCAUUGCUGCAUCGCCAGCGGAGGCUGUCAUGUGAUAGCACUUCCCUAAGAUGACAGAUCAAUAUUGGUCCGCUGCAAUCCUAAGACUGCAAGCCACACAGAGGGCAUUUUUAUGGCUCAAAUACAAAAGCUGAAAUAAAUAUCAUUCUUCAAAGCAUGGAAAUAUAUCUAUUUUUGUUCUGGAAGAAAACCUAAUGCUCUUUCAAAACGGUUCUUAAAGACAGGUAAUGUUAUCAAAUUUUAAUGACUACUUUUAGAAGAAAAACCACAAAUGACUUGUUACAUUUUUUUCAAAGUUCAAUUUUUCUGUUACUCAAUUAGUCACGGGGCAAAGCAAGGAAAUACACCAUCGUUUGCUUUGGUAAACAGCCCAAAUCACAUAUGCGCAAGCACAUGAAGUGCUGAUGACACACUAUCAAAUAGGCCCUCUCUGACAUUAUUGGUGGAAGUAAAGUUAGGUACAAUCUUUCUGGAAGGAAAUUUAGUGCUAUGUAUCAACAUUCUUUAGACUGUUCAUAAAUUUGGGUGCAGAAAUCCUACUUCUGAAAAUAUAUCCUAAGGAAUUUAGGAGAACGAGAAUCAGCAAUGUCUUCCAAAGAUUGCCAGUUAUUUACAAUGCUGAGAAACUGAAAAUAACUAAACCUCUGACAAUGUAAAUACAUUAUUAAACAACAUUUAAAACAUGCAUAAAGCUUCUAAAUGACAUAGGGAAAGGUUUAUGAAAUUAGGUUAUGUGAAGUUAAACAAAUGCCAAAUAUUAUGUACAAUGUGAUCUAAACUAAAUAAAAAUAUAAUAGCAAAAAAAUCAGAAAUACGUGCACAAAAAUGUUAACACCUAUUGACUCUAUUUAGUGUAAAAACUAAUGUGAUGUGUUUUGUUUAGUUUUUGUCUACUCUUCUGCAUUUUAUAUAUAUUCCACAAAGGACAACUGACAUGUUGAUAAACACAUAUACACGAGAAGUUAUAUUUAAAAAGAAGUUGCACAGGAAAAACAUCACUAUUCAAAGAAAUUCAUUUAAACAAACAUAUGCUCUUUUAUCUUGCCUUUUAACUCAGCCCCCCAUCUUAAAAGAGAUGUAACAAUGUAUUUCAGCCAAUCCCUCUCUCUGCUAUCCCUCCCCUCAGGGAAGAACUGGUUUCUUCCCUAUUUCUGACCUUGAUCCACCCUUUGUUUCUGACUGCUUUUCAACCUUGCCUCCAGGUGUGUGAAGAGCCAGAGCCCAGCCAUGAGGCCUGAUCAGUGUUUCCGAAGUUUCUGAAGAUCAGAGUGUGGUAGUGUCGGCAGAGACAAGCCAGUCUGCAGCUCAGUCUAAAUGAAUUUCAGGGUCCAGAAUAUCAUAGAGUCCACAUCAGCUUUUUAUUGCUACAUGCCAAAUGACCACAACAUCUACAGUCUAAAGCAACACACAUUUAUGAUCUCAGAGUUUCAGUGGGUUAUAAGUCUAGGCAUAGUUUAUUGGAGUCCUCUACUUUGGGUCCCACAAAGUUGCAAUCAAGCUAUCAGCUGAACUGCAUCCUUUUGGGAGUUUGGAGUCUUCUUCCAAGCUCAUGUGGCUAUUGGCAAAACUCAGCUGUAUGACUGACAUCUCCCAUAUUGCUAGCUGUUAGCUGAGGAGAGCUUCUAGAGGCUAUUCAAAGAGUAUUCCUGUCCCACUGAGAAGACUUCUGAGAUGGGCUUGAAUGCCACUUAAGAUGGUACUUGGAAUGUUAAUUACUUGAGUCAAGAUAUUUGGAUUCUGGCUAAAGCAGACACCCAAAUGAUUUAUGCCUCAGGAUAAAUCGCUCACCUGAGCCUCAGUUUCCCGAUCUGUAAAAUGUAGGUUUUGAACCAGAUAAAUUGCUAAAUUCUGAAAUCUAACCUUAAUGUCACACAGUCAGAUCUUCAACUGAGUAUUAUUCUUGAACUUUUAGAUGUCUCCAAGCCAUUUCAAAUUCAUGACAAGAAAACUAAAGUGGGAAAUAAUCUCAGUAGUAGUAGCAAAAAUCUAUCACAAAGAACUGGAGACCCACCCAGAGCUGUCUUCACACAGACAUAAGACUGUGAUGUGUGUGUGACUGGGGAGUUGGUAUAUUUGUUUGCUCCAGUUAGGACCACUGUUCAGAGUUUUUCAGAUCAUGCAUUCACAUACAUGGUCAUAGGUCAUGGCUGUGGCUCCUGGAAGCCAGAACAAAGACCAAUGGGUAGACUUCAUAGUAAAAGCAACUGUGGCUCAGU